rnacentral:rRNA from 1 species
UACGUAGGGGGGCUAGCGUUGUCCGGAUUUAUUGGGCGUAAAGAGCGUGUAGGCGGCCAGGUAGGUCUGGUGUGAAAACUCGAGGCUUAACCUCGAGAUGUCAUCGGAAACCAUCUGGCUAGAGUCCGGAAGAGGAGAGUGGAAUUCCUGGUGUAGCGGUGAAAUGCGCAGAUAUCAGGAAGAACACCCGUGGCGAAAGCGGCUCUCUGGAACGGUACUGACGCUGAGACGCGAAAGCGUGGGGAGCGAACAGG